AGAGCGAACGCUGGCGGCAGGCUUAACACAUGCAAGUCGAGCGCCCCGCAAGGGGAGCGGCAGACGGGAGAGUAACACGUGGGAACGUACCUUUCGGUUCGGAACAACCCAGGGAAACUUGGGCUAAUACCGGAUACGCCCGCAAGGGGAAAGAUUUAUCGCCGGAAGAUCGGCCCGCGUCUGAUUAGCUAGUUGGUGAGGUAACGGCUCACCAAGGCGACGAUCAGUAGCUGGUCUGAGAGGAUGAUCAGCCUCACUGGGACUGAGACACGGCCCAGACUCCUACGGGAGGCAGCAGUGGGGAAUAUUGGACAAUGGGCGCAAGCCUGAUCCAGCCAUGCCGCGUGGGUGAUGAAGGCCCUAGGGUUGUAAAGCCCUUUCGGCGGGAAGAUAAUGACGGUACCCGCAGAAGAAGCCCCGGCUAACUUCGUGCCAGCAGCCGC
rnacentral:rRNA from 1 species